UUGGGGGCUCGAUCCCGGGACCCUGGGCUGAAGGCAGAGCUUAACGACUGAGCCACCCAGGUGCCCCAGUUUCCUGGCUUCCUGUAGCUGUUGGAGAUGGACCCAAAUGUUCCUUCAGUGUCUGCACACCUGGUCCAUCUUCCUUCUCCAGUCCUGCUUCCCAAUCACCUUUGCUGCACUAUGGGAUCCGGUCAGUCCUUCCAAUGUGCUCUGUGCCCACUGGCCUUGGGGCAGCUCGGCCGCUCCCUCUGCCCAAGACACUUUCUCCUCAAUCCCCCCUCACUCAUGAGCUCUCAUCUCCCCUCAGAUGAAUGCCGUGACUCCACAAUCUCUAUUGAAUGGUUACUCAAUCGCCGGAGGCACAGUUCUCACAUGGUUCCAGACAUGACCCAAACAGAUCGGGGUGAAACAGUUAGUGAGCCUUUCUUCCAGUGAGAAGCAGCCAGAAAACAGAGUCAAGAAAUCUGGCAUGUCAGGGGGUGCUGGAUGCUGUAGGAAGGUUGGAAGGGGCUGUCAUCUAAGCUGGGAUGGCCAGGUAAGGCCCCCUGAGGACAAAGGUCGGAAAGCCUUGUAGGAGGUGAGGGAGUGAGCCCUGUGCAUGUCUGUGGGCCAGUGUCCCUGGCAGAGUGAAGGGGGAGUAGGAAGGUCUCUGUGGAGAGAACUGGGCUGACUUGUUCCAGGAAUGACAAGGCCAGAGUGGGGGAGAAGGGGGAUAAUAGCAGAUGGGGUCUUAGGGACCUAGGGUGAGAGCCACUGGAGGCCAGGCAGGGGUGGGGGGGGGCGGAUUUUGAAGUGAAGAAUGAGGUGACCUGAGUUGGAUUUUAGUGGGAUCACUUCAGUUUUCUGUUGAGAACAGCGAAGGUGAAAUCAGUCAGAUCAGUUUGGAGGCUCCUAGAAUAUUCCAAGACAAGAGAUACUGUCAGCUUGGAUCAGGGUGGUAGGAGGGGAAGUGCUGUUAAUCGACCAGAGUCUGGGUACAUGGUGAAGGAAGAGCUGUUGGGAUAUGCUGACAGAUUGGAUGUGGGUGAGGCCAUGAGUCAAGAAGAUGCCCAGCCUCUGGCUCUGCAGGCUCAUGUCAGAUGCGGCUCCCUCUGGAGGCCCCUGACGCUUACAGACAAGGUCCAGCCCACUAUCUGUUCUCUGUGCAUGUCCUUCGGGGCAGUCAGUCCUGUCUCAAUGCAGAGUCUCGUUUAAUGUUUGUCCUUCCCCCUCCACUGUGAGAAUAAUGGUGCUGAGAGGGACCACAUAUGUCUCAGUGUCCCAUGCCAUGUAGACUCCUAGCAAGUAUUUCUCAGCCAGCAGAGUGACAAGGAACUGAAUGUAGACGCUCAACGUUCUAUUUCCUGACGAGGUCUCAAGACUACCAUGUCCAUUUCAUUGGUUUUGAGUAGUCUGUGUGUUUUAGAAACCAGGCCAAAGGCUGUUAAGACUGAAAUUCCAUUGUGAAAAAAUUAAUUUGCUGUCACCUGCAUUGAAAAAUGUCACUGUUGAUGUGCAAGUGGGUCACAGGAUCACGUCUUGGCAGAGGCAGCAUUUUCCGGAAACUUACGCCUUCCUUCCCAGCACAGUGUUGACAUCUACACAGCUCAGCCCAGAGAGCAGGGUUGAGAUUUUGACCUGAGAUAUUCUGAAGGUCAAUGGGGAUGCUGUUUUCCCUCCCCAGAGAAGACGUGUCACUUUAGAAUGAGAAUAUUCUGGUGAGCGUAAAUUAGCUGCCAAACUUGCCCAUCAAGAAAGUCGAAUAAAUCAUGGCUUUCUGGAUUUUUGCCACCCCCCCCAUUUUUUCCAAAAGGAUCUACGGUAGAUUAGAUUUGCCCGGUCUUGAACAACGUGUGAAUGGAAUUUUGUCAUAUGCAAUUCCUUUGUCUUCUUUCACUCAGCGUGUUCUUUGAGAUUCAUCCAUGUUGUGUGCACAGGUCUGCAGUAAGCCUUGGCUACUGGCUUGACCCUUCCAUUCAGCAUUUUGUAAGACUGUCUAAGGAGAGGAAGGCCCCCAGAAUUAAUAGAG